rnacentral:rRNA from 1 species
UGGGGAAUAUUGGACAAUGGGCGAAAGCCUGAUCCAGCAAUGCCGCGUGAGUGAUGAAGGCCCUAGGGUUGUAAAGCUCUUUUACCCGGGAUGAUAAUGACAGUACCGGGAGAAUAAGCUCCGGCUAACUCCGUGCCAGCAGCCGCGGUAAUACGGAGGGAGCUAGCGUUGUUCGGAAUUACUGGGCGUAAAGCGCGCGUAGGCGGUUUUUUAAGUCAGAGGUGAAAGCCCGGGGCUCAACCCCGGAAUUGCCUUUGAAACUGGAAAACUUGAAUCUUGGAGAGGUCAGUGGAAUUCCGAGUGUAGAGGUGAAAUUCGUAGAUAUUCGGAAGAACACCAGUGGCGAAGGCGACUGACUGGACAAGUAUUGACGCUGAGGUGCGAAAGCGUGGGGAGCAAACA